GAGUUUGAUUCUGGCUCAGGAUGAACGCUGGCGGCGUGCCUAACACAUGCAAGUCGAGCGCGGUUGUGCUUAGUAUUGAGUGUUUUAUUGAUAUAAAACAUUGAAUUCUAUGCACAACUGAGCGGCGGACGGGUGAGUAACGCGUGGGUAACCUGCCCUAUACACAUGGAUAACAUACUGAAAAGUUUACUAAUACAUGAUAAAAUAGUUUUUCGGCAUCGAAGAAUUAUCAAAGUGUUAGCGGUAUAGGAUGGACCCGCGUCUGAUUAGCUAGUUGGUGAGAUAACUGCCCACCAAGGCGACGAUCAGUAGCCGACCUGAGAGGGUGAUCGGCCACAUUGGAACUGAGACACGGUCCAAACUCCUAUCGGGAGGCAGGCACGUGGGGAAUAUUGCAUCAAUGGGCGCAAGCCUGAUGCAGC
rnacentral:rRNA from 1 species